GCCACCUCCAAGCAGAAGUACUGCUAUUUUUAGCUGUAUUGCUGAAAAUGUCAUUACCUUCAGGCUGCUAGUCAGGCAGUCUCUUAGAAAUAGGCAAAGAAGGUGGCUAAACCAAAGGCAUUUAUCAGUUUUCGAGGACCUGAAAGAAAACUGCCUGUCAGGGAGUUGGCAAAGAAAUGUCUGAGAGUAUGGAUAUUCUGCAGCUAAAGAGUUUGAAUUGUGCUGGUAAUUAAAUGCAGGAGUGCAGCCUUGCGAAUCCAGUUGGCAGUUGGAUGUCGUUUUAGGAGAUAGGAUUGAGGAACUACGAAGUCAGCAGUCAUUGAGGAAUUCAGUGAGGGAGUGGCUUUUGAAAAAAAUUCAAAGCUAGAUCUCCAAAAGGAAAGACAUUGGAAUUCCUGGUAAAGUUUGAGAUUUGAUGACCCACAGUAUGUACUUCCUGUCUCUGGAAAUUACCUCACAUUUGCUGCGUAGGCCUGUCUCUUGGAGUCGGGACCAGAUACUCUGGAUUCUGCCCGCAUGUUCUGGAUGGCUGUUUGUAUUUCCACAGGUACUGAUUUCAUCCCUCUCCCUGGCCAUCGCUUGAGGUUAAACCGGACUGUUCAAGAGGUUUGGCAUUGCAUUUCAUCUGGAGAUGAGCUUCAAAUUGUACAACUGCUCCAUCGUCAAGACUGGCUACCUCCACUUCCAUUGUACAGGCUGCCUCUGCCUCAGAGGUUUCCCUUUGCAGCUGUGCCUUUGUUACCUUUAGAUACAUCUAUUCCAAUGCUUUCUUGAUUGACCUUCCACCUUGUAUCUUUGGUAACAUGUGCUCAUUUAAAACUCUGCUACCCAUGUGCUUACAAGUCUUCUUCAGCCAUCCUACAUUGGAUACCAAUCUGACAAUUAAUUAUUAAUUAAUUGAAAAUACUCAUCCUUAUGUUCAGAUGCCUUCAUGAUCUUACCUCUCCCUAUCUUUGUAGCCUCCCCUGACUCUAUAACCCAAUGAUUUCAGUGCUUCUCCAAUUCUGGCCCAUUACACAUCACCAAUUUUCAUCGCUCCACUACUGGCAGCUGUGCUUUCAGUUGUCAACACCACUCAAAUGUUGGAAUUUUCUCGUAGUCUUCCCACCUCUUUAUAAUCCUUCCCUUUCCAUCUUUGAUGCCAUUGUCCUCAGGAAAAUCUCUCCCAUUCAGGUUAUUUCUCCUGUGCAGGCCCCAUCUUUGAUCCUUGAAGGCCAGGGGACAAAGGCUUUAACGCAAGCUGAAUAGCCACCAACUGUUAGACUUGGCAGACACCAAACAUCAUUGGGCAUAGCUUUCCAGGUCGAUCCCAGAUAAUAAGUGGUUUUGACAGCCAACAAAGAUUCUUUCCAUAUUUCUUCCUUCCACUGCCAUAUGUCUCCUUAGAUCUACCUCCUACAGAAAGUGCAAAAAGAUUGUGGAUUUCAGUCAGUAGUGUUCUGAAAAUCCAUUCAACUGUUUCUGCCUGACCCCACCCUUCCCCUUGCCCAUCAAACUGAGAUUCUCUCAAAAUUUCUCCAUGCCAUAAAUCUGAACCUACAUCUUUCUGUCUUCCUCUUAAGUUAUUUCUGAGCUUGUCCAUGCAUCCUAUACACAUUCUAUAAUCAUAAUUGUGGCUACUAAUGCAUCCCUGAUUUCUUUCAUUCCAGUGCCUUCACAGGGUAGUGAGAAUUAGCGAGAAGUCACUGAAGAGGUUUCUGGGAGAAGUUUGACUGCUCUCCACGAUUGAGAAGGGGAUUAGAAGAGAACCUACUGCUCAGCAGAAGAUCAUCCAACAGAUGGUGGCCAUGAGAAGUGACUGAGGAGGUUCCCUGGAGCAGUUGGCUUGCUAACCACAAAUGAGUAGGGGGUCAUGGAGGACUUGGUGUCAAAGAACGGUGAAGCCCAAAGCAUUCCAUUCUGUAAUGAUUCCCUUUCUCCUCGUCAAACCAAUUACUCUAGGACAGUUACAGAAUUUUCUUCAAAGCCCUUUCUGCCUCUCCUCCUUUAAGAUCUUUAAAAUUAUUUUGUUUAAAUAGCUUAUAGUAAUCCUUCUUAAUGUUUUCUACAUCAGUCAAAGUUCUACAUUUUAUAUCUGAGUGAUUCCUUAGGAUGUUUCCUUGUGUAAAGAAUACCACAUAACUAAGUUGCUGUUGCUGGUAGUUGCAGAGCCAAGUGGGUUGGAGCUGGAGCCAGUUCAGCAAAGACAGGAGUAAUGGACAAGAGUGUAGUGGUCAAAAGGCCAACAAAACGUUUUCAGAAAACGGUGGUGGCACAGGUACCAUUUCAAUAAAAAAAAGAGAUAGAAGAGGUAGAAAUGGUAAUGGGUGAAUUUGGAAAUACGUUGUUUGGUGAUUGCAGAUUUAAAUGAUGUUAAUCAUACUUCAAUUUGCAGAACUGAAACAGAGCAUAUUAAUAAGUUCAAGAUAUACUGUCAUGCAUAUUUAGUCAGACACAGGAUUGAGGGACAUGGUUUAUUUAAUCAAGCUUCUAGACUCAACACGAUAACUUCACAAAUUAUUUUUCUAGAUGUUGGCGAACCACAGAUGUAAUGCGACUUCUAUAAUUAUAUUGCCCACAAGACAACAACUGAAAUACCUAACUGCAAUUCAUGGUUUUAUUAAAACCAAAAUUAACUUAAAACACGUUCUAAGAUCCAGACAACAAGCAGUUUAUUAAUUUUUAAAUAAACCCAUUUUUAAAAUUCACUCAUGGGAUGUAGUUGUCAAUGGCUAGGCCAGCAUUUAAUCUCUGUGUCUAGUUGCCCAUAAGAAAGUAGCGGUGAUCAUAACACACUCACUGAUAAUCAGGCUUACCUUCUGCAUUGAAUACGUCAGUCAUUUAAUAGUUACACACACAUUCUCUUUUAGUUAUAUUGAGUGAGUCAAUUCAAUAUUCCAAAAAUGUAAAGUGCAAGAGGCUCCAUCUGCCAAUAUGACCAAAAUUCCCAGGUUGAGUCACUGACAAACUCGCUGCCAGAUACUCUUGUAUAUUUGUGUGAGAAUAAAAGAAGAUUUUUAAAGAAUCAAAUACAACCUUUUAGUUGACAGUAAUCAAAACACUGUGAAGAUCAUUCUUUUCCUCUAUCUUCUUUCUCCAACUCAAAUACUGCAGUGUCUCCAAUUAUUAACCAUUUCUUUAAAACCAGUAAACACUACGCCAGUUAAUGCACGGAUUAAAACUUCAAGGAAAUUAUAACAUGUUAAACUAAUAAUCCAAAUUUAAGGUACAUCAGGCUAUAUCUUGAUAGUCACAUAAUCAACAGUGUGUGCAAUUCUUUGAAAUUCACAAUAGCAAUUAUAAACUAUGUCACAGCGGAUGCAAUGUAAAGGCUACAGAGCUGCCUUGACAACAAUGGUAACAGACCACAUGAAUGCUCUCAUUUGAUGUGGUCAAUAGCAGACAUACGCAGAAUAUAGUGGCUGAUCGCCAAAAGUACAGCAUUGACGUCAGAAGAUUGUGUAAUCGUCUCAUCUUGGCUCUAAUCUAUAAACAAUGAACAAGCAUUGGAAAGCCUUACAAUGGAGUUAAUAUAGUGUUUGCAAAACAUGCUCCUGAAAUUAAGGAGAUGUAAUGAUAUCUGGAUGAAGAAAUUCAAAGCAAGCCAAUAAUGCUUUUCCUCUAUAAAGUUGCUUUCCUGUCCCUUCUCCUCCAACUCCAGUUAAGACCAGAUACACCAUACUAAUUCAGCAAACAUCUGGAAAGAUGUCUGUAGUGUGAUUAAAUGGCUUUAGUUUAAUACUAAAGAUAUUUGAAUAAGUAAUUUUCAAAAUCGACAAAUUUGCUUAUUAACAAAUUGUUUAUUUAAGUAUGAAGCCAACAGAACUGAAUGGUUGUAAAGAACAGCACAGACACAAUCACUAACACUGUUCUGUGCUGAACACUUCUAAUUUUAAGUUUUAGUAAAUAUUGUAGUGGUAACUUAGUCUUCACAAAUACUUUUGUGAAGUAUCAGAAUAUGAAUCUUCAAACUUCUACAUACUCGUGAUUAAAAUAUUUCUACUAUCCAAAAAUCCUCUAUAUAAGCUUGGCAUUUUCAAAUAGGAUUUUGUGAAAUGAUACAAGCAUAUUGGUCAGCUUUUCUUUCACUUACGGAAGUCCCUACAGUGAUGUAUGAUUUCACUACUUGAAGCUAAAGAACAACAUUCUGCCACCAGAGUGUCAACGUGAGCACUGAGUAUCACACCUGGCAAACUUUUACCCUUGGCCCACAGCUUUGAAUCCAGCUGUGAGUAAAUGCAAUGAAAAACGUCUUCUUUCUAUGCUACUGACAGUAAAUCAGAAUUUAUUCUGUAUUUAACUCAUAUAAUGACCUGACCUGGGAGUUCUUGGUUCUUACUGUGGACAUUAAAAAUGUGCCAUUAACCAACUCAAAUAGGUUCAAGAGAACAAAUCCAUCCAACAGCAAAUAAUUUAGAAAAGCAUACAAUAUUUCAGAAAGACUAUUUUCAUGAAUUAUUCCAAACUCAAAAUCUAAAGCUUCAUAAUACGGAAUCUCAAUCUGUAGAUAUAAUUCAUAGUUAGAAUUGACGAUUUCUCCUAAAAUCCCAAAGUAAUUAAUAUCAACUGCAUAUAAAAUGAAGGUUUUCCAAAUGAUUGAUCUUCCUUAGUAUAGCUAUAAAAUCAGAUUUACAAUCAGAAUAUUCAGCUAGAUUGUCAGUCCAAUGCUCUAAAUCAAUACAAAUUCAAAUGAAAAAUGUUCAAUUAAUUUAAGAACAACACAGAAACAGAGGAAACAGAGUAAUUGCCUGUUUGCUUAAGUUUAUGUCAGAUUGAAAUUCAAACGGUAUUCACUGUGAUGAGAACCCACACAUUUACAAGUAAUUCAGGAUUGUGCAGAGAUACCAAAUGCAUUCGGAAUUGAUUUGCUGAUCCAAAUUACACUUUAGAUCCUGCGUGUUGUGCUAUAUUACUAUACACUUGACACAAAACCUCCAAAAAAGUGCUAAGUGCACUUCCAUCAGCAGCUUAAAAAUUCUGUUUGCUUUUUAAAACAGUAGAGAAAAUAUAACUUCAGCUAAUUUCACUGAAUAGCUUAGCUCUGAAGUAGCAACUUCACAUAACAUACAUCAACCACAAAUACAGAAACAAUGAAAAAUUAUUCCACUUUUCCUAGAAAGCAGUCCUGUGUAGUGCUUUCCUCCUCAUCCAGCUUGGAACGCCUGUUGUGUCAUCAGCUGAGGACGCAAAGCCACUCUACUCACAUUUGAACUGAGUUAAGCGCAACAUUUUUAAAAUCCACAAAAUGUUCUCAUUUAUUCAGUGAAGAAAUCUUUUAAAGUGAACAGCAAGACUGUGAUUCAUUAGAAGCACCAGAUGAAUAUCACACCUUGUUUAUUACAUUAAGAUGGAUAACUUGUAUUGGGUUAUUAAAAUGAAUGCCCAUAUUGUCUGAUGGUCCUCAACUCCAUUUUGAAUAGAUAGGCUCAAUAGGAAUAAAUUUACCUCUCAGUAGAAGGUUCAAUUUCCACAGGGCACAAAAGGUUAGGGAUAGUAGGUUUACAGGGGAUUGAAGGAGAAUUUGUUUCAACCAGAGUGGUGGAUAUUUGGAACUCACUGUCUUAAAGGUGGUACAGGUGAGAACUGUCAAAAAUUUCAAGAAGUAUUUAGAGGAACACUUGAAGCAGCAUAGCAUAUAAGGCUAUGGGCCAAGUGUUGGGAAAUACGAUUAGAGAAGAUAGAUGCUCAAUGGGCAGAAUGGAGUCAAUACGUUGAAGGUCCUUUUUUGACACUGUAAUAUUCUGUUCCAUGAAAUUACUACACCAAGCACUGUCUGUAUAAUGUUAUACACUUCCUUUCCUUUUAUUUCUCAACUUGCUUCCCAUUUUCAAGCUUAUAACAAUCAUCCUAAAAAGAAUGCCAAGUAAUUACCUUAGACUGGGUAGAAAUUGAAUUCUUAUUUAUAAAUUAAUUAUUUGGCUAACGAUAACAGUUAUAUUUUUAAAUACUGAACGGUAACAAUUGUUUUCUAUUUACACAUUAAACUACCGAUGGCUAUCCAUAUACAUUUUAACCAUAUAUAAAAAGGAAAUCAACAUUUUGGGUGCAUAAACAUGGCAUAUAUGCAUAAAAGAAAUGCUAGAAAGAAGAAUCCAUUUAUAUAGUACCUAUCAAGACCAUCUGAUCUUCCAAAGAUGUAUAUCAUAUGUGCAGCACUUUUGAAAUAUAGUUACAUAAUUUAAUAAAUGAGGCAGCCAAUUUACAAAGUGCAUUCUCUAACAAAGAGCAGCAUGACAAUGACCAGGUGAAUUUUUUUUAAUGAUGUUGAUGGUGCAAUUAAUAUUUGCAGCGACACCAGUAAUAACUUGCCUGGCUCUUCUUGGUCAUGGUCUAACAUCUCAUCCCAGAGAAAGCAUUUCCAAUAGUGCAGUGCUCUUUCGUUACUUAAGUGCUAGCCAAGACUGUUGGACUCAAGUCCUGAACUGAGACUUGAACCUACAACAUUCUGGUCAGAGGUAAGAAUGUGACCAAAUAAGCCAUGACUGACAAGGAAUGCCUUUCCACAAAAUUUUUAGAUAUAGGCACAGCCAAUGUGUUUCCAAAGCAUUUUCACAAAGCUGGUACAACAGGCAGGUACUUCCCUUCUUAGUACAUUUUUCAGAUUUAAACGCAAUAAUUGAAACAAUGUUGUUUACAAAUUAAAUCCACUACAUUAUUCUUCAUAUAACUCCUAAACAAAUGUAGCCACUUGUAAGCAAUUCAUUUUCUUGGAGUUUAAGAAUUCCUCACACCUUUUCAUAUUUCCAGGCAAAAUACAGCACGUAUAAAAAGGCUGGAAAUCCACCAUAUUUCACAAAACCUCUGGAUAUAACAGCAAGGCAUAUGCCCUAAUGACUCAGAAACACUCAGCCUCCACGCUGUAGACAUGUUAAUGUGUAGCUGGACCCAAGUUUAGAUUUGCUAAAUGCAGAGGCUCAGAGUAAUUCAAUUAGAUAAACCAUGAACUUUGUACCAAUCCCAUCCACUUCAUUCAUCAGUUUGCAACCUGGCCUCCAAUUUGCACCCAGCUGAGAUCCCAACCCAUACCUCUUCGAUCACAAUGAGUGCCUAUGUCCAACCUCUAACGUCACCAGUCUUUCUCUCCUACUUCAGCCAUUCUGCUCCAAAACCAUCAAGCUACGCUCAUGUCACUUCAAAGAUUUGCGUAUUCUAACGUUCCCCUGAUGAACCUCAUUAUCUUCCACCCUCCACGAAAUUCAGUCUAUACAAAAUUACAGGGCCCAUAUUCUAACCUGUUCUAGUCUUGUUCACCCAUACGCUCACAGGUCUACAGUAGGACCUAGUUCUUGAGUAAUUCUAGUUGAAAAUACUGAUUCUGUCUUCCAAAUCUCACAUGGAAAUUCCCCAUCCUUCCUUGGUAACAUCUUCAGACACUACAACACUAAGAACUCUGCAUUCCUCCAACUAUGGCUUGUUCCUUUUGUUCCACCAUGCUUUCAGACUCAGCAAUUUUCUCUGUACCUUCCCUAAAAUGGAUCUCUGAGUAAACCUUCUGUUACUCCUCUUUACAUCAUAAUCACUGGCUUGGUCAUUGAAUCCCUACAGUUUGGAAGCAGGCCAUUUGGCCCAUUGAGUCCACAUCGACCUGCCAUCAGCAUCCCACCAAGACCCACCCCUCUACCUAUAUCUGUGCAUUUCCAAUGGCUAAUCCACCUAGAUUGUACAAACCCAGACACUACCGGGCAAUUUAGCAUAGUCAAUCCACCUAACCGUGGGAGGAAACCGGAGCACCAAGAGGAAACCCCCGCAGGGGAAUGUGCAAGCUCCACACAGACUCUUGCCUGACGCUGGAAUUGGACGCGGGUCGGUGGCACUGAGGGGCAGCAGUGCUAAUCACUGAGCCACCAUACUGCCCCAUCAAUUUUUGUCUCCUCAUGUUUCGUGUGAAGUUUCUUGGAUCCUUUGGCAUUUUCUACAUUAAGGAUGCUAUAUAAAUGUGAGAUAACAAGGUGCAGAGCUGGAUGAACA